rnacentral:sRNA from 1 species
GCUGGGCGUGGCGGCUCAUACCUGUAAUCUCAGCUGUUCAGGAGGCUGAGGCAAGAGGAUCACAAGCUCAAGGCCAGCCUUAAAAACUUAAUGAGAUCCUGUCUCAA